rnacentral:rRNA from 1 species
UUAAGCGACCAAGCGUACACGGUGGAUGCCCUGGCAGUCAGAGGCGAUGAAGGACGUGCUAAUCUGCGAAAAGCGCCGGCGAGGUGAUAUGAACCCUUGACCCGGCGAUGUCCGAAUGGGGAAACCCAGUGUGACUCGUCACACUAUCAUUAACUGAAUCCAUAGGUUAAUGAGGCGAACCGGGGGAACUGAAACAUCUAAGUACCCCGAGGAAAAGAAAUCAACCGAGAUUCCCCCAGUAGCGGCGAGCGAACGGGGAGGAGCCCAGAGCCUGAAUCAGCAGGUGUGUUAGUGGAAGUGUCUGGAAAGGCACGCGAUACAGGGUGAGAGCCCCGUACACGAAAAUGCACCUGGUGUGAGCUCGAUGAGUAGGGCGGGACACGUGGUAUCCUGUCUGAAUAUGGGGGGACCAUCCUCCAAGGCUAAAUACUCCUGACUGACCGAUAGUGAACCAGUACCGUGAGGGAAAGGCGAAAAGAACCCCGGCGAGGGGAGUGAAAAAGAACCUGAAACCGUGUACGUACAAGCAGUGGGAGCACAGGUUUACCUGUGUGACUGCGUACCUUUUGUAUAAUGGGUCAGCGACUUAUAUUCUGUAGCAAGGUUAACCGAAUAGGGGAGCCGGAGGGAAACCGAGUCUUAAUUGGGCGUUAAGUUGCAGGGUAUAGACCCGAAACCCGGUGAUCUAGCCAUGGGCAGGUUGAAGGUUGGGUAACACUAACUGGAGGACCGAACCGACUAAUGUUGAAAAAUUAGCGGAUGACCUGUGGCUGGGGGUGAAAGGCCAAUCAAACCGGGAGAUAGCUGGUUCUCCCCGAAAGCUAUUUAGGUAGCGCCUCGUGAACUCAUCUCCGGGGGUAGAGCACUGUUUCGGCUAGGGGGCCAUCCCGGCUUACCAACCCGAUGCAAACUGCGAAUACCGGAGAAUGUUAUCACGGGAGACACACGGCGGGUGCUAACGUCCGUCGUGAAGAGGGAAACAACCCAGACCGCCAGCUAAGGUCCCAAAGUCAUGGUUAAGUGGGAAACGAUGUGGGAAGGCCCAGACAGCCAGGAUGUUGGCUUAGAAGCAGCCAUCAUUUAAAGAAAGCGUAAUAGCUCACUGGUCGAGUCGGCCUGCGCGGAAGAUGUAACGGGGCUAAACCAUGCACCGAAGCUGCGGCAGCGGCACGCAAGUGUUGUUGGGUAGGGGAGCGUUCUGUAAGCCGUUGAAGGUGGCCUGUGAGGGUUGCUGGAGGUAUCAGAAGUGCGAAUGCUGACAUAAGUAACGAUAAAGCGGGUGAAAAGCCCGCUCGCCGGAAGACCAAGGGUUCCUGUCCAACGUUAAUCGGGGCAGGGUGAGUCGACCCCUAAGGCGAGGCCGAAAGGCGUAGUCGAUGGGAAACGGGUUAAUAUUCCCGUACUUGGUGUUACUGCGAAGGGGGGACGGAGAAGGCUAUGUUGGCCGGGCGACGGUUGUCCCGGUUUAAGCGUGUAGGCUGGUUUUCCAGGCAAAUCCGGAAAAUCAAGGCUGAGGCGUGACGACGAGGCACCACGGUGCUGAAGCAACAAAUGCCCUGCUUCCAGGAAAAGCCUCUAAGCGUCAGGUAACAUCAAAUCGUACCCCAAACCGACACAGGUGGUCAGGUAGAGAAUACCAAGGCGCUUGAGAGAACUCGGGUGAAGGAACUAGGCAAAAUGGUGCCGUAACUUCGGGAGAAGGCACGCUGACAUGUAGGUGAAGCGGUUUACCCGUGGAGCUGAAGUCAGUCGAAGAUACCAGCUGGCUGCAACUGUUUAUUAAAAACACAGCACUGUGCAAACACGAAAGUGGACGUAUACGGUGUGACGCCUGCCCGGUGCCGGAAGGUUAAUUGAUGGGGUCAGCGCAAGCGAAGCUCCUGAUCGAAGCCCCGGUAAACGGCGGCCGUAACUAUAACGGUCCUAAGGUAGCGAAAUUCCUUGUCGGGUAAGUUCCGACCUGCACGAAUGGCGUAAUGAUGGCCAGGCUGUCUCCACCCGAGACUCAGUGAAAUUGAACUCGCUGUGAAGAUGCAGUGUACCCGCGGCAAGACGGAAAGACCCCGUGAACCUUUACUAUAGCUUGACACUGAACACUGGUCCUUGAUGUGCAGGAUAGGUGGGAGGCUUUGAAGCGUGGACGCCAGUCUGCGUGGAGCCGUCCUUGAAAUACCACCCUUUAAUGGCUGGUGUUCUAACGUGGGCCCCUGACCGGGGUUGCAGACAGUGUCUGGUGGGUAGUUUGACUGGGGCGGUCUCCUCCCAAAGAGUAACGGAGGAGCACGAAGGUUGGCUAAUCCUGGUCGGACAUCAGGAGGUUAGUGCAAUGGCAUAAGCCAGCUUGACUGCGAGCGUGACGGCGCGAGCAGGUGCGAAAGCAGGUCAUAGUGAUCCGGUGGUUCUGAAUGGAAGGGCCAUCGCUCAACGGAUAAAAGGUACUCCGGGGAUAACAGGCUGAUACCGCCCAAGAGUUCAUAUCGACGGCGGUGUUUGGCACCUCGAUGUCGGCUCAUCACAUCCUGGGGCUGAAGUAGGUCCCAAGGGUAUGGCUGUUCGCCAUUUAAAGUGGUACGCGAGCUGGGUUUAGAAACGUCGUGAGACAGUUCGGUCCCUAUCUGCCGUGGGCGCUGGAAGAUUGAGGGGGGCUGCUCCUAGUACGAGAGGACCGGAGUGGACGCAUCACUGGUGUUCGGGUUGUCAUGCCAAUGGCACUGCCCGGUAGCUAAAUGCGGAAGAGAUAAGUGCUGGAAAGCAUCUAAGCACGAAACUUGCCCCGAGAUGAAUCUUCCCUGAGACUUUAAGUCUCCUGAAGGAACGUUGAAGACGACGACGUUGAUAGGCCGGGUGUGUAAGCGCAGCGAUGCGUUGAGCUAACCGGUACUAAUGAACCGUGAGGCUUAACCUU